rfam:Myotis brandtii contig153398, whole genome shotgun sequence.
GGGAUUAAGAAUAGUCUCAAAAACCGUUAAGAGGUAAACGGGUGGGGUCCGCGCAGUCCGCCCAGAGGAUUCAAUCCAGCGGCGUGGGGCACGGGAAAUGUGGCGUCUGGAAGGCCCACUCCCCGGCGCUUCUCGUGGGGGGCCUGAGUCCUUCUGAUCGAGGCCCAGCCCAUGGAAGGUGUGAGGCCGGUAGCGGCCCUCGGCGCGCCAGGCCCGAGUCAGAUUGCUUGGGAAUGCAGCCCAAAGCGGGUGGUAAACUCCAUCCAAGGCUAAAUACCGGCACGAGACCGAUAGCCAACAAGUAUCGUAAGGGAAAGUUGAAAAGAACUUUGAAGAGAGAGUUCAAGAGGGCGUGAAACCGUUAAGAGGUAAACGGGUGGGGUCCGCGCAGUCCGCCCGGAGGAUUCAACCCGGCGGCGUGGUCCGGCCGUGCCGUGGGCCCCGGCGGAUCUUUCCCGCGCCCCGUUCCUCCCGACCCCUCCACCCGUCCUCCUUCCCCCGGGCCCCUUCGGGGGGCCGCUCUUCAACACUGUCACCACCAGCAGCCACAGGAGAAUUGAGAGGUAACAGGGGGGACAACAUGAUUAUGUGGAGGAUUCAGAAAAGGGGGAGUUUCACCUCACACACUAAAGGUCUUUCUCAAAAAGUUGUCUUGUUAACUAACUCAGUUAAUGUCCGUGGAUUUCUACAGCAGGGACUUAGGGUCCAGUGGAGUGGAUUGUCCAAGAAAAAUACAUUCAAGGAUGCAUAAUCCAACAUAAUAUAAUAAACUCUGGGGACAGUCAGACACCAAGAGAGGCAAAGCUGGAAAGAAGAAAUUUAGAAAAGGAUCAGAAGACAAACAUGUCAUUAAAUUUUUUCAGAAAAGAGCAAAAAAAAAUAUGUCCUCUCACCCACAGUAGAAAAAUCUGAAGAGGUAAGCAGCAUAAAGUAUUCCAAACAGACUCUGUCCCAAAGAAGCUGGGAGUCAGGAUUUUGCUGGAAGCUACUGCUUAAAGGAGAAUUGGGAUAGCCAUGUCAUUGGACUAGGAGGGUGGAUAGUAAAUUUCCUUUUUGUAGCUUGAGGACUUCAGGCAAAUUAUGUCCCCGUGUCUGUUGCAUCACCUGUAAAAUGUUAAUUGCACUUGUACCUAUCUGUUGACACUGAUGUGAGGUUAAAAUGAGUUUGUACAGGAAAGUGUAUAGCAGGCAGUAAACAUCAAAAUUCUUAGCUCAAUUAUUUUAAUUAUUUGGUGGUAAAGGUCUGGUAAAUUAUUUGAGGAAGAGUAGGAUGGGAAUGAUCUGGAUCACUGGGGGAAAGCACUCAUUCCACCUGGGAGGUUCAACUUAUUCCCUGUCCAAAUGGUUUUAUUGUUUAAUUCCAUGGUUCUCAGGGACCAAUGAACUGGUCUGUGUCAUUAUUACUGGUUAUAAUUUGGAAGUCCUAUUCCUCUUGCUUCCUUGCCUGAAUCCGUAAUAGAUUUAAGUGAAGCAGACAUCUCAUUAUAUGCCAUCCCCAACCGUGCUUUCCUUCCCAGUCCUUCUGGAGAAGAUAUUUUAUAGAGGCAAGUAGACAUUUCUUCCAAUAUCAUGGGAGGUUCCUGAGGCUCAUGGACCAAGUUGGUUCCUGGAGACUUUGAGUUUUGUAUAGGGCUCUCAUUUCCUGCAUGUCUAAUAUCUAGAGAAAAGUUAAAUGGAUAAAGACCCAGGCCCUUCAGCUGACUGACAUCUGUGGACUUGUAAGAGUUCUACAGAUAUUUACCUUAGGAUAUCCACAUGCCACUGUGAUGGGAUACAAAAAUGGUCUGAAUCUAUGCAAGUGUAUGUCUUUCUGAGCAGAACGUCCAUUGUUUUCUUCAUCUUCUCAAAUGGUUAAAAAUGGCUUAGGAUAGUGGUCGGCAAACUCAUUAGUCAACAGAGCCAAAUAUCAACAGUACAACGAUUGAAAUUUCUUUUGAGAGACACAUUUUUUAAACUUAAACUAUAUAGGUAGGUACAUUGUUAUUAACUUAAUUGGGGUACU